GGAACGAACGGUUCCUCUUUUCUCCCGUCGUCUCCUCGUUCCUCCCUCUGCUACUUCAAAUCUCUGCUCGAUUUCAGCUACACGGACACUGGAUUUAUUCUUUGGGAUUUAUUUCAUCUCUCAAUCGCUGUCUUCGUCGGAAGGAUUGCUCAAUUAGGCCGUUUAACUUUGAGUUUUCCUGGUGCUGCGAUCUUGAUUUUGUGAGUGUAGCGGAAUAAGAAUUGGUUGUUUUCUUUACGAAUGGAUCAAACCCGCAGAGCGGUGGAAACGUAUUGGAGGCCUCGUAUGGUUGAUGGAGUGACUUCGGACGAAGAUAAGGUUACUCCUGCUUACAAAUUGGAGGAAAUUUGUGAUCUUUUGCGUACUUCUCCCGUGGGCAUUGUGAAGGAGGUGUCUGAUUAUAUCCUCAAACGCCUUGAUCAAAAAAGCCCAAUUGUGAAGCAAAAGGUUCUUCGGCUGAUCAAGUAUGCAGUGAGAAAAUCUGGAAAUGAGUUCAGGAGGGAAAUGCAAAGGCAUUCUACAGUGAUUUGUCAACUGUUCCAUUAUAAAGGUGAGCUAGAUCCCCUUAAAGGGGAUGCCCUUAAUAAGCUGUUCGGGAAACUGCUCACGAGGCCAUUGCUGCUGUCUUUGCAUCUGAUGAGAACAAGACAAUUACACCAGUAGGUCUUAAUAAGCGCAUCCAAGGCUUUGGUAAUACAAAUUUUGAGGUUCCUGCUGAAGAGAAAAGAUCAUUUGUCAGUGAAGUGGUAGGUCUUGGUAGCGCCACCAUCAAGCACAGACUAAACACCAUAGCUGCUGCCCACUUGUCAGGAAAGGACGAUACUGGCAGUUAUAGGAGUCCAAAUCUUUGAAGGUCUCUAACGACAGAAAUAGACAAUCGUAAUGAUUAUCAAGGGAUUGAAUACCGGACAGAAAGCCAGGAUGCUUCUGGGGUGUCAGGAAGAAAUUCUGGGACAUGGGUUUCUAAUUCAACGCUGAGUGUUCCCACCUCUGCAGGAAGUGAGGACACAACUUCAAGUAAUAGUGGGGUUAAGAGUCAUGAGGGAAGACUUUUGGAAACAAUUGUCACAUCUGGUGGUGUUCGUUUACAACCAACUUGUGAUGCUCUGCAAGUUUUUCUUUUGGAGGCUGCAAAAUUGGAUGGAUUGGCUAUGAGUCAUGCCUUAGAGAUGAAGCUCAAAUCUCAAUUGUGGCAGUUUUUCCAUGCGCAGAUGACUGUCCUCAAGUAUGUCUGAAAAGUUAGCAUGCAUCAACAAGCUACAGGAUAAAAUGUUGAGCUGAAAGGAAAAGAGCCUGAGGCAACUGAAGUGGACUUCUAAAGGAGCAGGUUGAGAACUUGACUUUAACUUGCACAAGCAAGAGAGUGCGGAGCAUUCGCUAAAGUAUCAAGUGCAGAAAUGAGAGCCAACAACUCAUCUCCCGCAAUGUUCGAUUAACCUUGAUCAACCAUGCUCUCCAAAUCAAUCUUCAUACUCAGAAGAAAGCUUCCUUUGACCUAAAGAGGCCUUACAAAUUCAAGCAGCCAAGCACAACAAAGUUGUAGAGACUUGGAGUAUGUUCACAAGAGAGAGCUAAACCAACACAUUGUUCAACAAGCAUGGUCCAGGAAAUUCAAACAAACCCUAUCAUAGAGCACGUACUGAUCAGAGAUGCAAGAGGGCCGUGACAAUAAAACUUUUGAAGAGGAUGUCUGUCAGUUUGACAACUACGAUCUACCACUGAAGCAGUAGACCAAAUUCCUAGCAGAGAGAUUGAAAGAGAAAAACAAGACUGUUAUAGGUGAGGGGGAAAAAAUAACUUAACUCUUUGUUGGUUUACACUUUUCAAGUCUUUUCAUUUCAAAACCUGCUGUGCAUAAGAACUCACUCUUAGCAACAAUUGAUCUAGACUAUUUCUUAAUAUUUCUUGCACCCUUGCUUUGUUUUUGCAAUUCAAUUUGUUCUUUCUCUUAAACUCAAUUAUCUACCUUCCAUUGUCAAUUCUUUGAACCUCGGCAUUCAAGCCUGAUUUAGACCUUUUCCUACCUCAAUCUGAGACUCAGGUCUUUGACACCCCAACUUUAACUCUUGC